rnacentral:rRNA from 1 species
AUGAGGAAUUUUGCGCAAUGGGGGCAACCCUGACGCAGCGACGCCGCGUGGAGGACGAAGUCUUUCGGGAUGUAAACUCCUGUCAGUGGGGACGAUAAUGACGGUACCCACAGAGGAAGCACCGGCUAACUCCGUGCCAGCAGCCGCGGUAAGACGGAGGGUGCAAGCGUUGUUCGGAAUUACUGGGCGUAAAGCGUAUGUAGGCGGCAAGUUAAGUUCAAUGUUAAAGCCCACGGCUCAACCGAGGAGAUGCAUUGAAUACUGGCUAGCUAGAGGGUGUUAGAGGAAGACGGAAUUCCCAGUGUAGCGGUGAAAUGCGUAGAUAUUGGGAGGAACAUCGGUAGCGAAAGCGGUCUUCUGGGACAUACCUGACGCUGAGGUACGAAAGCGUGGGGAGCAAACGGGAUUAGAAACCCCUGUAGUCC